rnacentral:rRNA from 1 species
UCCUGUACCCGUAUAUAUGUGAAGGAAUGACGGAGAGAGGAAGCUGCAGCCAGCGGCUGGAAGAGCUGGUGCAAGCGAGAUAUCGGGAUGGCAGGCAAAUCCACCAUCCGAAACGAGAAGGCGUGAAGCGUACGGAAAGCUACGGCGAGUACGGAAGGCAGUGGAGGAACUUCCAAGAAAAGUUUCUAACGUUAAGUAUAUAUGGCCCGUACCGAAAAUGGACACACAUGGGUGAGGAGAGAAUCCUAAGGUGAGCGAGAGAACUAUAGCUAAGGAACUCUGCAAAAUGACUCCGUAACUUAGGGAGAAGGAGUGCUCAUAGAGAUAUGAGCCGCAGUGAAACGGCCCAAGCGACUGUUUACCAAAAACACAGCUCUCUGCUAAGCCGCAAGGCGAAGUAUAGGGGGUGACGCCUGCCCGGUGCUGGAAGGUUAAGGGGAGGGGUUAACGCAAGUGAAGCCCUGAACUGAAGCCCCAGUAAACGGCGGCCGUAACUAUAACGGUCCUAAGGUAGCGAAAUUCCUUGUCAGGUAAGUUCUGACCCGCACGAAAGGCGUAACGAUUUGGGCGCUGUCUCAGCUGUAGACUCGGUGAAGUCUUAGUACCUGUGAAGAUGCAGGUUACCCGCGACUAGACGGAAAGACCCCAUGGAGCUUCACUGCAGGUUGAUAUUGGGAUUUGAUGCAGCAUGUACAGGAUAGGUAGGAGGCAAAGAGAUGGAUACGCCAGUAUUCAAGGAGCCGCUGUUGGGAUACUACCCCUGUUGUAUUGGAUUUCUAACCGGACGACGUAGAGCCGUUGACGGGACAGUGUCAGUCGGGCAGUUUGACUGGGGCGGUCGCCUCCCAAAGAGUAACGGAGGCGCCCAAAGAUACCCUCAGCUUGGAUGGAAACCAAGCGCAGAGUGCAAAGGCAAAAGGGUGUUUGACUGCGAGACCUACAAGUCGAGCAGGGACGAAAGUCGGGCUUAGUGAUCCGGCGGUGCUGAAUGGAAAGGCCGUCGCUCAACGGAUAAAAGCUACCCUGGGGAUAACAGGCUGAUCUCCCCCAAGAGUUCACAUCGACGGGGAGGUUUGGCACCUCGAUGUCGGCUCAUCGCAUCCUGGAGCUGAAGUCGGUUCCAAGGGUUGGGCUGUUCGCCCAUUAAAGCGGUACGCGAGCUGGGUUCAGAACGU